AUGGAGAAGGAGAAGAAGCUGUCCUUCUCCAUCCCUUCCAAGCUCAGGCCGCCCAAGCCGCCCCGCCCCGCCGCCGGCGCUGAUUCCUCCGCCGCCAGCGGCAACUCCGCUUCCGCGGCCGCUGCCCCCGCCCAGCAAUUCGUCACCGAGUUCGAUCCGUCGCAAACCCUAGCCGCCGGCGCCGCGUCCGCCGUCAUCGCGCCCCUCCCCAACUCCGGCCACUUCCUCAACCACCGCUCCCGCAAACCCUCCUCCCUCCCGACCCCCGAGGAGGAGGCCGCCCUUGCGGCCUCCACCGCCGGUGGCCCCACAUUCGUGCUCGACACCUCCGAGGCCCCCGACAACCCCUCCUCCCACAUAGGGUAUGGCCUCACCCGACGCGGCGCCGACGCCGACGCCGAGGCUGACGCCACGGAGCCGGGUAAGACGCAGUCUUCCAAGGAAUCAGAGAAGAAGCCGACCUCUCCAGCCAGAGAUGGCGGCUCCAGCGGUGACCUUAUGCUGCGACGGUACAAGGAGGACAUGGCCAGCCUCCCUGACCACCGUGGUAUAGAUGAGUUUGAGGAGGUGCCUGUGGAGGGCUUCGGUGCUGCCCUCCUUGCUGGUUACGGCUGGUCGGAAGGCAAAGGGCUCGGCCGCAAUAACAAGGAAGAUACCAAGGUUGUUGAGUAUAACCGCCGUGCCGGUACGCUGGGAUUAGGUUACGACCCUUCUGAGGCAGACCCUAAGAAGACUCGCUCCGGCGACUGGGUUAUUGGUGGAAAGAAGCCGACAGAGAAUGGUGGAAAGAAGUCCGCAGAGAAUGGAAAUGCAAAGAAGAGAGAUAUGGACAAGGAAGACAGAGUCCGGGAGAGGGAUUCAAGUUCCCGACAGAAGAGAUCUGGUGAUCUUAGGGCCGAGAGGGAGGUUCGAGAGAAAGAGAGAAAAUCUCGGGAUAGUCGAGAAGAAAAGAGUAGCCGCGAUGUUGGUAACAAAGUGCGCUGGUUACAGAGCAAUAUUAGGGUUAGAGUGGUUAAUGAGAGGUUCAGCAGAAGGUUGUACCUGCAGAAGGCAAAAAUUGUCGAUGUGGUUGGACCAACGACAUGUGACAUAAUGAUGGAUGACGGGUCAGAGCUUGUGCAGGGGGUGGAGCAGGAUAUGCUUGAAACAGUCCUGCCACGGACAAACGGCCAAGUGCUUGUGCUCUGUGGGAAGCACAAGGGGGUGUAUGGGCAUCUGGUAGAGAAGAAUUCAGAGGCAGAGACUGCAGUAGUGGAGGAUGCGGAUACAAAAGACAUGGUGCGUGUGAAAUAUGAUCAGAUUGCAGAGUACGUUGGGGACCCAGAAUUGCUUGGGCAUUGA
rnacentral:rRNA from 1 species